rnacentral:lncRNA from 13 species
UUGCAAUUAAACAUAAUGCUAUGUGUUCAUUGUUAAUUGCAGAUGAAAUGCCAGUGUUGAUAGAAAAUACCUCUAAAGCCUUGAUUCUGGAAGAAGCUAGAGAAAUGGCUCUUGGGGUUCUAAUACUGACAUUUCUUUGGUGACUGUUUCCCAUGAAUGACCUCAACUUCCACUGAAAUCCACAAGAAAACCAAAAAAUGCAAACCGCAAGCCUGAAUAUUUCUGCAAAUUACCUGUGUCUUUAAUGUGUCUUGAACAGUUUGGAUACGUGCCUGAUCUUUUGUGGCAAUGUAAUACUAGUGCCAGGACUCCACUUGUGGUAUCACUUUUAGUAGUGAGGCCACAUGGUGCCAUUCAGAGAUUCAGCAAAUUCUCACAUGUUCCAUCUGCCGUGCAUUGUUACAGGUUUUGAGUCUAGAACCACGAAAACAAAAGACAAAAAUCUUGUGGACUUUGUAUUCUAGAGGAGAGAAAAUAAACAAGGUAAGUAAAAUAUAUAGUAUGGUAGA